rfam:Picea glauca, whole genome shotgun sequence.
GGGUGCGAUCAUACCAGCGUUAAUGCACCAGAUCCCAUCAGAACUCCACAGUUAAGCGUGCUUCGGCUAGAGUAGUACUGGGAUGGGUGACCUCCCGAGAAGUCCUAGUGUUGCACCCU